ACGCACGCUUGCGGCGUGCUUCACACAUGCAAGUCGCACGGAAAGGCCCUGCUUUUGUGGGGUGCUCGAGUGGCGAACGGGUGAGUAACACGUGAGUAACCUGCCCUUGACUUUGGGAUAACUUCAGGAAACUGGGGCUAAUACCGGAUAGGAGCUCCUGCUGCAUGGUGGGGGUUGGAAAGUUUCGGCGGUUGGGGAUGGACUCGCGGCUUAUCAGCUUGUUGGUGGGGUAGUGGCUUACCAAGGCUUUGACGGGUAGCCGGCCUGAGAGGGUGACCGGCCACAUUGGGACUGAGAUACGGCCCAGACUCCUACGGGAGGCAGCAGUGGGGAAUAUUGCACAAUGGGCGGAAGCCUGAUGCAGCAACGCCGCGUGCGGGAUGACGGCCUUCGGGUUGUAAACCGCUUUCGCCUGUGACGAAGCGUGAGUGACGGUAAUGGGUAAAGAAGCACCGGCUAACUACGUG
rnacentral:rRNA from 1 species